UACGGAGGGUGCAAGCGUUAUCCGGAUUCACUGGGUUUAAAGGGUGCGUAGGUGGGGCGGUAAGUCAGUGGUGAAAUCUCCGAGCUUAACUUGGAAACUGCCAUUGAUACUAUCACUCUUGAAUAUUGUGGAGGUCAGCGGAAUAUGUCAUGUAGCGGUGAAAUGCUUAGAUAUGACAUAGAACACCAAUUGCGAAGGCAGCUGGCUACGCAUAUAUUGACACUGAGGCACGAAAGCGUGGGGAUCAAACCAGGAGUUAG
rnacentral:rRNA from 1 species